UUAGCCGAAACCAAAAAGAGGUAAAUCGUUGUUAACGAUUAUAUUGAUAACAAUCCUGCUGUU
rnacentral:tRNA from 1 species